AUUGAACGCUGGCGGCAUGCUUUACACAUGCAAGUCGAACGGUAACAGGCCGCAAGGUGCUGACGAGUGGCGAACGGGUGAGUAAUGCGUCGGAACGUGCCCAGUCGUGGGGGAUAACGCAGCGAAAGCUGUGCUAAUACCGCAUACGAUCUAUGGAUGAAAGCGGGGGACCGUAAGGCCUCGCGCGAUUGGAGCGGCCGAUGUCAGAUUAGGUAGGUGGUGGGGUAAAGGCUCACCAAGCCAACGAUCUGUAGCUGGUCUGAGAGGACGACCAGCCACACUGGGACUGAGACACGGCCCAGACUCCUACGGGAGGCAGCAGUGGGGAAUUUUGGGCAAUGGGCGCAAGCCUGAUCCAGCAAUGCCGCGUGCAGGAAGAAGGCCUUCGGGUUGUAAACUGCUUUUGUACGGAACGAAACGGUCUGGGUUAAUACCCUGGGCUAAUGACGGUACCGUAAGAAUAAGCACCGGCUAACUACGUGCCAGCAGCCGCCGUAACAC
rnacentral:rRNA from 1 species